AGUGAACGCUGGCGGCAGGCCUAACACAUGCAAGUCGAGCGGCAGCGCGGGGGCAACCCUGGCGGCGAGCGGCGGACGGGUGAGGAAUUCGUCGGAAUCUGCCUUUUUGUGGGGGAUAACGUAGGGAAACUUACGCUAAUACCGCAUACGUCCUACGGGAGAAAGUGGGGGACCGCAAGGCCUCACGCAGAAAGAUGAGCCGACGACCGAUUAGCUAGUUGGUGGGGUAAAGGCCCACCAAGGCGACGAUCGGUAGCUGGUCUGAGAGGAUGAUCAGCCACACUGGGACUGAGACACGGCCCAGACUCCUACGGGAGGCAGCAGUGGGGAAUAUUGGACAAUGGGCGCAAGCCUGAUCCAGCCAUGCCGCGUGUGUGAAGAAGGCCUUCGGGUUGUAAAGCACUUUUGUCCGGAAAGAAAUCCCUGGAGCUAAUACCUUCGGGGGAUGACGGUACCGGUAGAAUAAGCACCGGCUAACUUCGUG
rnacentral:rRNA from 1 species